UACGGGGGGGGUAAGCGUUGUCCGGAUUUACUGGGCGUAAAGAGCGUGUAGGCGGCCGCACAGGUCCGUUGUGAAAACUGGAGGCUUAACCUCCAGACGUCGACGGAAACCGUGUGGCUAGAGUCCGGAAGAGGAGAGUGGAAUUCCUGGUGUAGCGGUGAAAUGCGCAGAUAUCAGGAAGAACACCAAUGGCGAAGGCAGCUCUCUGGGACGGUACUGACGCUGAGACGCGAAAGCGUGGGGAGCGAACAGG
rnacentral:rRNA from 1 species